GGUCUCAUCCCUUCACUUUUUAACCUUCAAUUGCAUGGGUUUCCUGAUGCUGCCAUGUAUGGUGCAGCUGCUGGCUUUCCUUAUGGGUUCUCUAAUUCAUUUCAUGGCGGCCAUGCACAUGGAUAUCCUCAGCACCAAGUGCAAGGACAGCAAGAUUAUUAUCUGAAAAGGCUACUUUUGUUAAUUGGUUUUUGUGUUCUUCUUGCUCUCAUUUGGCAAUAGACUAAAUCUGUUUUCACAAAUGGAUAUUUAGGGCUUAUAAUCUCAUGUCAUUGUAAAUCUGUUAGUGCAUUUUUCAUUUCUUGUUAUUGAGGAAAUUGUCCAUAGCUACACUGUCAGAACUCUUGUAGGUUCUCCUUGUUUUUCAUCAGCUAUUUGGAAUGUGAUUUGCAUUUUUUUUUCUUGUCAAAAAAAA
rnacentral:misc_RNA from 1 species